GAUGAACGCUGGCGGCGUGCCUAAUACAUGCAAGUCGAGCGAACAGACGAGGAGCUUGCUCCUCUGACGUUAGCGGCGGACGGGUGAGUAACACGUGGAUAACCUACCUAUAAGACUGGGAUAACUUCGGGAAACCGGAGCUAAUACCGGAUAAUAUAUUGAACCGCAUGGUUCAAUAGUGAAAGACGGUUUUGCUGUCACUUAUAGAUGGAUCCGCGCCGCAUUAGCUAGUUGGUAAGGUAACGGCUUACCAAGGCAACGAUGCGUAGCCGACCUGAGAGGGGUGACCGGCAACACGGGAACGGGAAGCCGGACCGACCUCCACGGGGGGGAGCAGGGGGGGAUCCUUCGGAAAGGGGCGAAGGCCGGACGGACAAACGCGGGGGGGGUGAUGAGGUUCUCGGGAUCGAAAACCUUUUUUAUGGGGAAAAAAAAAUGUUGAAAGAAACUAGGCACUUCUUGACGUUACCAAAUAAGAAGGCCCCGGCUACCUCCGUC
rnacentral:rRNA from 1 species